UACGUAGGGGGCGAGCGUUGCUCGAUUUUACUGGGUGUAAAGCGCACGUAGGCGGCUUCGUAAGUCUGGUGUGAAAUCUCACGGCUCAACCGGGAGGCUGCACCAGAUACUGAGAAGCUCGAGGACGGGAGAGGAGAUCGGAAUUCCCGGUGUAGCGGUGAAAUGCAUUGAUAUCGGGAGGAACACCAGUGGCGAAGGCGGUUCUCGGGCCCGUUGCUGACGAUGAGGUGCGAAAGCUGGGGGAGCGAAAGGG
rnacentral:rRNA from 1 species